AUUGAACGCUGGCGGCAGGCUUAACACGUGCAAGUCGAGCGGGGUGAUGGUGCUUGCACUAUCACUUAGCGGCGGACGGGUGAGUAGUGCUUAGGAAUCUGUCUAUUAGUGGGGGACAACAUCUCGAAAGGGAUGCUAAUACCGCAUACGUCCUACGGGAGAAAGCAGGGGAUCACUUGUGACCUUGCGCUAAUAGAUGAGCCUAAGUCGGAUUAGCUAGUUGGUGAGGUAAAGGCCUACCAAGGCGACGAUCUGUAGCGGGUCUGAGAGGAUGAUCCGCCACACUGGGACUGAGACACGGCCCAGACUCCUACGGGAGGCAGCAGUGGGGAAUAUUGGACAAUGGGGGGAACCCUGAUCCAGCCAUGCCGCGUGUGUGAAGAAGGCCUUAUGGUUGUAAAGCACUUUAAGCGAGGAGGAGGCUCUUUUGGUUAAUACCCAAGAUGAGUGGACGUUACUCGCAGAAUAAGCACCGGCUAACUCUGUGCCAGCAGCCGCGGUAA
rnacentral:rRNA from 1 species